rnacentral:rRNA from 1 species
AUUGAACGCUGGCGGCAGGCCUAACACAUGCAAGUCGAGCGGAUGAAGGGAGCUUGCUCCUGGAUUCAGCGGCGGACGGGUGAGUAAUGCCUAGGAAUCUGCCUAGUAGUGGGGGAUAACGUCCGGAAACGGGCGCUAAUACCGCAUACGUCCUGAGGGAGAAAGUGGGGGAUCUUCGGACCUCACGCUAUCAGAUGAGCCUAGGUCGGAUUAGCUAGUUGGUGGGGUAAAGGCCUACCAAGGCGACGAUCCGUAACUGGUCUGAGAGGAUGAUCAGUCACACUGGAACUGAGACACGGUCCAGACGCCUACGGGAGGCAGCAGUGGGGAAUAUUGGACAAUGGGCGAAAGCCUGAUCCAGCCAUGCCGCGUGUGUGAAGAAGGUCUUCGGAUUGUAAAGCACUUUAAGUUGGGAGAAAGGGCAGUAAGUUAAUACCUUGCUGUUUUGACGUUACCAACAGAAUAAGCACCGGCUAACUUCGUG